rnacentral:pre_miRNA from 1 species
CCCUUUCUGAAGGCACAGAGCUUAGCUAAUUGGCGAGCAUUGUUCCUAUCAAUAUAUUGUUCACAGUGGCUAAGUUCAGUGCCCGAAGUGAAACAGUGGA